ACAGGUGCCUGAGAAACAAAGCCGCAGAUCGCUCCACCGCUGUGCGCAGCCCCCUGCUGAGGGGCCAGCGGCUCUCCCUGGGACCCCAGAACCUUAACACAAUUCUGAGGUGGAAGAAAUGGGGAACACCAGGCCUGGCCUCAUGGAGACCGGGGAGUCAGAACCUGAGCUCUGGCUCCUGGAGCUGCUGCGAGUGAGUGGUGGAAACCUGCCCCCUUAGAGAAGCUGCAGCUGAUCAGCAUCAUGCAAGGGACUGCUGAGAUGGUAGCAUGCUGGUAAUGAAGUGUUAUGGAGCCACUCCAUCCUUUAUUCAUCCUUUUCCUCAUACACACAGAGAGCAAAGCACAGGAACCAGCUACAGAAUUUGCAAGUGGAGAAUCCAGGUACCUUUAAAAGUCUAUUUAGUGAAAAUCUCUGGCUAUUGAUGUGACGGUUAAUUUUAUGUGCCAACUUGGCUAGGCCAUGGUACCCAGUUUUUCAUAAAAGAUCAGUCUAGAUGUUGUGAAGGUAUAUUUUUAAAUGUGAUUAACAUUUUAUUCAGUGGACUUCAAGUAAAGCAGAUUAUCCUCCAUAUAGUGGGUGGGCCUUCUCCAAUCAGGCCUUAAGAGCAAAGACCAUGGUUUCUCAAAGAAAGAAUUUUCCUCAAGACUGCAACAUAGAGACCUUGCCUGAGUUUCCAGCCUGAUACCCUGAAGAAUUUGGACUCAAGACUGCAAUAUCAGCUCUUUCCUGAAUUUCUAGCCUGCUGGCCUGCCCUACAGAUUUUAGAUCUCCCAGCCCAAUUGCAUGAGCUAAUUCCUUAAAAUAAAUAAAUCUCUGUGUGUGUA
rnacentral:lncRNA from 10 species